UAUAAACAGUGGGUCUCGUUUUCUUAGGAACAUCCAAGACAGACAUAUUUGGUACGCCGGUCAAAGAUAGCAUCGACAGAUAAAUUCGACAUGGAAACACUAAUUGCCAAUACAAGCAACGGAAAAGGUAUUGCACCUGAUCCAGCUGGUUGGAACAUAUCCAUGUCUGUGGAAGGAUUCCGAGCGGCAGUAUAAAAACCACGAAAUACGCCACCAGGCUUGGCGAGAAAUUGGGGCAGCGCUAGACGAAAAACCAGAGGACGCCCAGGAAAAAUGGAAAAACCUGAUGAACACCUACAGACGCACCAAAAAAGAAAUUGCACGAAGCCAAACAACCAGCUCCACACACUUUCCCGCUCCAGGAAGUUAUCGG